UGAAUAUUCGAAUUGCUGAAUACUCGAAUUACUAAAUCGAGUGUCAUGAUUCGUUUUUAUUUGAAUAGGAAGAUCUGAUGC
rnacentral:snoRNA from 1 species